rnacentral:rRNA from 1 species
GUGAUCCACCUGGGGAGGUACGGUCGCAAGAUGAAACUCAAAGGAAUGACGGGGCGCACCAAGCGAUGAGCAUGUGUUUAUCGAUGGUACGCCGAGGAACCUUACCUAGGCUCAAAUGUAGAUUGACGUAUUGGGAAACCAGUAUUUCUCGGACAAUUUACAAGGUGCUGCAUGGUGUCGUCAGCUCGUGCCGUGAGGUGUCGGGAUAAGUCCCAUAACGAGCGCAACCCUUAUCAUUAGUUGCUAACAUUUAGUUGAGGACUCUAAUGAAACUGCCCGCGUAAGCGUGGAGGAAGGUGGGGAUGACGUCAAAUCAUCACGGCCCUUACGUCUAGGGCUACACACGUGCUACAAUGGUGAAUACAGAGGGAUGCCAACUGGUAACAGUGAGCAAAUCCAUAAAAUUCAUCUCAGUUCGGAUUGAGGUCUGCAACUCGACCUCAUGAAGCUGGAAUCGCUAGUAAUCGAAUAUCAGCCAUGAUUCGGUGAAUACGUUCCCGGGCCUUGUACACACCGCCCGUCAAGCCAUGGAAGUUGGGAGUACCUGAAGUCGGUAACCGAAAGGAGCUGCCUAAGGUAAAAUCAGUAACUGGGGCUAAGUCGUAACAAGGUAA